GACGAACGCUGGCGGCGUGCUUAACACAUGCAAGUCGAACGGAAAGGCCCUGCUUUUGUGGGGUGCUCGAGUGGCGAACGGGUGAGUAACACGUGAGUAACCUGCCCUUGACUUUGGGAUAACUUCAGGAAACUGGGGCUAAUACCGGAUAGGAGCUCCUGCUGCAUGGAGGGGGUUGGAACGUUUCGGCGGUUGGGGAUGGACUCGCGGCUUAUCAGCUUGUUGGUGGGGUAGUGGCUUACCAAGGCUUUGACGGGUAGCCGGCCUGAGAGGGUGACCGGCCACCAUGGGCCUACGAUACGGCCCAGACUCCUACGGGAGGCAGCAGUGGGGAAUAUUGCACAAUGGGCGGAAGCCUGAUGCAGCAACGCCGCGUGCGGGAUGACGGCCUUCGGGGUGUAAACCGCUUUCGCCUGUGACGAAGCGUGAGUGACGGUAAUGGGUAAAGAAGCACCGGCUAACUACGUG
rnacentral:rRNA from 1 species